UACGUAGGGUGCAAGCGUUGUCCGGAAUUAUUGGGCGUACAGAGCUCGUAGGUGGUUUGUCACAUCGGCUGUGAAAACCUGAGGCUCAACCUCGGGCCUGCAGUCGAUACGGGCAGACUAGAGUUCGGUAGGGGAGACUGGAAUUCCUGGUGUAGCGGUGAAAUGCGCAGAUAUCAGGAGGAACACCGGUGGCGAAGGCGGGUCUCUGGGCCGAUACUGACACUGAGGAGCGAAAGCGUGGGGAGCAAACAGG
rnacentral:rRNA from 1 species